rnacentral:lncRNA from 1 species
GUGAAUUCAUACUUCGGCACCGUACAUAACUCGCGUACAAUGUCGCACAGCGACAUGAAAUUAACAGCAUGAAUACUAGUUCCCGCUGGGACUUCUCCUGGAACCGUCGAGGCGAGUGGAUCGUGCCGGAGUGCGUACGUGAUUGAAGUUCGACGCGAAUUUUCACGGUUAGUGCAAAAACCGGAUCAACGAGUGCUAUAUCAAGAAACAAAUUAUCAGAAAAAGCAAAGAAAACAUUAUACGAAGCAUCGAUAAUUACUUUCGAUUAACAUGUCAGCCUCCCACAGAGGAGGCGGCAGUAACGGAUUUCUAUAUAUAUAGUAGCAAAAUUGACUGUGAUAAAACUGAAAUGGAGACACAGGGAAAUACAAUGGCCAAAAAACGCGCUCGCUUGAAUCCGAAAUCUAAAAUACCCGUGAAGAGAGAUAGACAGGGGGAAAAAACAUACGAAGACACCGAUAAACGAAAAACUCAGAGUGUAAACGAAGAAAGUACUGACCUUUGGCGUUCAAUAAUGCAGAAAAAAAUUGACGAUCUUUCGGAGACCAUCAAAGACCUAAAAAAAGUGAACGAAGAAUUAAAGAACGAGAACGAAAAA